rnacentral:tRNA from 1 species
GGAAACGUGCCUGAAAGCUACGGAUCUCCUUGAUAGGGAGAAAUAUAUGGGUUCAAACCCCCUCGUUUCCU